UCGAACGAGAAAGUUUUCUUCGGAGAACGAGUAAAGUGGCGCACGGGUGAGUAACGCGUAAGUAAUCUACCCUUGCAUUUGGGAUAACUACGGGAAGCUGUAGCUAAUACCGGAUACGUUCAUAGAGUUACGACUCUAUGAAGAAAGAUGACCUCUUCUUGAAAGUUAUCGUGCAGGGAGGAGCUUGCGUACCAUUAGCUAGUUGGUAGGGUAAUGGCCUACCAAGGCGACGAUGGUUAGCGGGUCUGAGAGGAUGAUCCGCCACACUGGAACUGAAACACGGACCAGACUCCUACGGGAGGCAGCAGUGAGGAAUAUUGCGCAAUGGGGGAAACCCUGACGCAGCGACGCCGCGUGGAUGAUGAAGGCCUUCGGGUCGUAAAAUCCUGUCAGAUGGGAAGAAAUGUAUGAGGGAAUAAUCCUCUUGUGCUUGACGGUCCAUCNNNGG
rnacentral:rRNA from 1 species